rnacentral:rRNA from 1 species
AUGAGCCGCCGGUUGGCGUCGCGGGAGGGAGGCGUGGGUUUGGGGGAGGGGAGGGGCGCGGCCGGAGCGGCCUUGGGAUCGGCGCCGCGAGGCCGCUAGCGUAACCGGCGCCGCGGCUACCGCUGGGUGGGGAGGUUCUCCUCAAUGGACACGCGCCCCUCGAGGAGCAAGCUGCUGGGGCUGCAGCAGCUCCACAGCGGCCGCCGGCGGCGGCGGCGGCCCCCCACCUUGGGGCCGGUGGUCUUCUCCUUCGCCUCGGUCCAACAAGGAGCGCUUUAUUAACUUUAACUACUACUAGGACUACCACAACACUAAUAACCACUCUUUCGUGGUCAACUUUUCUUAUUUGUAAGUCAACCUACAGGAGAACAAACCGGUUUCGUACACUUCUGAUCACACCGACCACUGUGACGGCCUGGUUCGUGGAUACGAAGUUUGUCAUGACGGUAAUACCCACCAAAAUUCUUUCAAUCGCGGCCUGGUUCGUGGAUACGAAGUUUGUCAUGAUGGUAAUACCCACUAAAGUUUUUUCAAUGGAGACCUGGUUUGUGGAUAAAAAGUUCGUCAUGACGACAAUUCCUACGAAAACGAUUUUUUAUAUACCUUUGGCGUCAAAUGGUACUAAUACUACUGAUGGGAAAGCUGCGUAAGCUCCUUCUACUUCUGAAACGAAUACUCCUUCUACUGAUGCUUUUGAUACUCAAACUACUAUGUGAAAUACUCUUACUUAUAUUGAUAUUAAAUAGACGGGUCAAACUACCGAACCUAUAGGGCGGACCUUACCUCCGAGGAAAUGGUACCGACGUCUUCUGACGGCGACUCUACAGCUCAUUAAGGUUUGGGUAGGGUUAGAACCUGCUCUUUCAACUACUUUCUAUGUCGUGUAAAUUCGUUAAACUAUGACAACUACCGGUAUCACUAGUAAUAAUACACUUUGGUCUCAAUUCCUUUCGAGACCAUCACUUCUUCGGUAGUUUUCUGACCCGCUUCGCGUAAGUCGUACUCACCUUUCAGAAUCUCUUUCUGAACGGUCUAUGGUAUAAGCACUCCCGUAUGCUCCUAUCUUACCUGGAAGAAUCUCAACAGUAAUACCCAGGUCGCCCGUGAGGAAUGGUACUACCCGAGAAAAAGAAGCUGUAAAUGAAGGGAGGAGUUAUAGGUUUGUAUGGAGGUGAACAAUUGAUGGCGAGACCACCCGACGCCGAAUUAGGUUUGGACAUACGAACACCCUUCCACACGGAAUCGGACAAUUUGUGGACCCGACCGUCACCUACACUCUUUACCUUAGGUAGGUUAAGUUGGUACGACGUCCAGGAACAGAGGUAAGUCCGGGACCAAAACUUACGGUUUGGAAUAAAGUUACUCGGACCUAUACGAUUAAGUCGAUUGUGUGGACCGCCCCUCUUUUCUAGGGAUUGAAUAUUACUUCUGUGGAAGGACGACAGGACGUCCUGCUACAACAUAAGAGAAGCUUUAGGUGGUUUCGUAAAACUCCUAAAGCACCGGCCGGUAAAGGCGUUCGUGCCCGCGUUGCAGGACCACCGGACGUUCCGGAUGGACCUGCCCCGCGUCCAGCCCACGGAGCGGCCCUUGCCCCACGUCCUGCACCUGCUCCCACUGUUCUCGACGAGCGAGUUCAAGUUCUGGAGCGAGUUCUCCGACAAGCUCCUCGACGACUACCUCAAGUGCCACUUCCCUCGCCUGACGUCGUUCAAGGACAGCCUCUUCCGCUUCGUCAGCCGGCGGAGGCGGUGGUGGAGAUCUCCCGGCGGCCGUCUGUGGUGGGACUCCGAUAUUCGCCACCAGCGGUCGGCUCGGCUCGGCUCGGUUUUACCAUCGUUAUUAAAACCGGUACCUUCGCUAAGCUAAGAUCCGAACGGAUCGAUAUUGAGGAGGACGGGACUGGAGCAGCCAGCUAUCCUCCGCGGGAUGGGCUCGCUCUCCCCUUAAUUUGGACUAACAAAAAACACAUUCAUCAAAUACAUGUAUACGGGAGGGGCGGAUCGAGAAGGCCACUUGUAUUAGGUAGGUAGGCAUACAAAUCCCUGUUCAUAGUAGUAGUCGUGGUAGUAGUGGACACUCUCUCUGUGAUACUAAUUACAGUGGCAGGAUCCGAAUUAUAUAUAGACUACCUCAAACAGUC